rnacentral:rRNA from 1 species
AUAACGACUCUCGGCAACGGAUAUCUCGGCUCUCGCAUCGAUGAAGAACGUAGCGAACUGCGAUACUUGACGCAAGUUGCGCCCGAAACCUUUGGUCGAGGGCACGUUUGCCUGGGUGUCACA